UUUCCGUAGGUGAACCUGCGGAAGGAUCAUUAUCGUAUAACCGAGGUGCGAUGGCUGUCGCUGACCCGAAAGGUCGUGCACGCCCGAGUGCCCUCACACACAUCCAUCUCACCCCUAUGUGCACCACCGCGUGGGUCCCCCUUUGGCUUGUUCGGAGGGGGGCUUACGUUUUCACACAAACUUUGUAUGCAGUGUAGAAUGUAUUUUUUGUUUUUGCGAUCACGCAAUCAAUACAACUUUCAACAACGGAUCUCUUGGCUCUC
rnacentral:misc_RNA from 1 species